UUCCUUCCUUGUUGUCUGCAAUGUGUUGGGGGCACAAUGCAUUAGAAAUGGAGCUGGCAAGAAGGCAUGGUGGUGCACAGAACUCUUUCUCUAUCACCUUCUUCCUUUAUGGUGUUUUGUCAGCAUUUUGAGCAAAUCCACCAAGCUGCACUACUUGCUUCAGCUGAAUCCAGAUCUGUGUCAGUGCUGUGCUAAAGCAAUGCAGCUUUGAGGUAUUUUAUUUUUUUCUUUUUCUUUUCUUUUUUCUUUUUUUUUUUUUUUUCUUUUUAAUUGAAGGCAACACUUGAAGGACCUUGGGGGUGCUGGAAUCAGGAGAGUCCCUCCACCCUGAGGACAGCCUGCUGGGAACACAAGCUCAUCAGGAAACUCUUGGAUGACGUCCCAAAAACAUUUCUAGAGAAUAGAAAGUUGGUCUGGCAGAAGAAUAUGUUUAACAUAUAAAUAAUGGAUGUUUCCAGCACAUUGUGUGCUGUGAAGCUGUGCGUCUUGAGUCCAAAAGGAGGAUGGAGUGUGCGGUGGUGGCAGCCAGAGGACUGAGAUGCUGUGUCAUUUUUGCCCCACCGCCUGCCAAUGACCUCGCCUCUGUGACGUGCUUUGGAAAUGUUCUUGAAGUUUCUGUGCGUAUCCGGAGUUUUGCCAAAUGGAGUCAUCAGCUGCCUGCUGCACUGCUAUAAAACGCGGCUGGCUCCUGGCCCCAAGGACAGCAGCACCUACCAGCCGGUAAGUGGUGUCAGCGCGGUCACUUCUGGUGUUCAGCUGCACAGGGGAAGUACCAGACCCUGCAGAUGACAUGUCAGAUGUACCUACACAUACAUGUAUACUCACUGUGUGCGUAAGACCUCUUAUUUACACAUAAGCAGAACCAAUCUUGGUCUAAAGGAGUCAUUGGGAAAGGGCUCUGCCACUGACCUUUGAAGGGUCUUCUGAUCUGCAGGAGGCACUUCGUUUCCUCCAGUGUGUAAUACACCCUUAAAAUUUGGAUGUAAUUUUGAUGAUUCUUGGAGUCAAGACAAGCCAGCAGAGAAAUCAAGUUUUGUGUUAUAAUCAAAAAGUCAGAGGGCUCCCCUGGGCCUUCAGCGAGUUUGUGAGCACAGUCAUACAGUCUGUGACAAGCUGGACUUUAAUUAAAAGCCAUCCUGUUGAAGGGCUGGCUGGGUUUGAUACAUGAAGAGCUUACGUCCCUGUUGGUUUGAUGUGGCAAUGUUCGUUCUUGAGAGAAAGCUCCCAAAUGACCAAGAAUGGGUACAGCAAUGAGCGGGAUAUUACUGGCUGGGCUGAGGAUGACACUGUGGAGCUGUGGUUAUUUGAGCUGCUCAAGGCCACUGCAAGCGUAUGAAAUACUAAUGCUGAGAAAGAUCUCAGAAUAAGAUUGAAAUAGACGGUUCUUGGCCAUCUUAGACAAUCUUGGACAUCAAUAGACAGUGCCUCUUGGCUGGAAGUGUGACUCAAAGCUGUUUUUGUCAUUUUGCAUUGGUUUAACUGCAUGGAUGCUUUGUAAUGUAGACACUUCUGAGUGGAGCAAUUCCUGUUCCCUGCAUACCUCUACAUGCUUAUUUCUCUCUCCCAUGAUCUCUGCUUGUCACACUGCUUGUGUGAAUGCUUUUUAGUUCAUUUCAGCUACAAAAGAGACAGAUAAACAAAACGGUGCUGUAUGAGCUCUAUAUACUAGCCAGGCUCAUUUGGCUGAGCAGAAAGCUCUCUGGAAGAGACACUGUGAUGAGCUACCAAGAUCAGGCUGAAAGCAACUGGAACAGUGCUGUCAGGGAGAUGUGCCAUCAGGGAUACGACAUGAUAUGUGAUCAAGGAGAUAUCAGAUGUGGUAUCUCAGAUCUGACACCAAACGGAAAGCACAAAGAGGAUGUGGUGUACUGAGCCUGUAAGGGAUAGGCUGGAGGGUACCUUACAAUUAAUUAUUAGGGAUUAUUUUCUAAGAGGUUGUGCUGCCCACCCUAUUUCACAUCAUUCAACAGCAGACAUUUAGUGGGAUAUACUCUCUUACCAUUACUCUGCUCUUUGUCAACGUGUGAUUCCUGUCUCUUUGCAUCCUUUGAAAUUUUGGAGGCUCAGAGCCGAGUUUGGUCCAAAUGAACUAAGAAGGGAAAAGCUGCAAGAUCCAGCUUUCCUCACUGGGUGUGGAACUGGUAGGUAGGUUUCUAUCAGGAGACAGAAUUUACAGGGCACUGAUAAAAUUGUGUUUCUGUAAAGAGCAGAAUUUGAUUCUCCUGUGUGGAGCCUGCAAAUGCACUGGGUUUUUCCUGACACCAACUAAAGGACCCAGCACGUCCUCUGGGCUGCUAUUGUUGCUGCCUUGAGCCCUCAUUUGUUUAACCAAGGUAAAUUCUUGCUCAACUGGAAACUGCCCCAGCAAAGGGAUGAAUGCAGUGGUCCCUGGGAAAUGGCUCAGGGCCUGGAAAUCGCACCAGUUCCAGGGGAAAACGGAAGCCUUUGUGCCACAGGGACACUGGCACCAAUGCAACGUCUUUUGACAAUCAGAGGAAAAAAGCACACAAGAGUUUUCAGCUCAGCUUUCUGGGAAAUUGCAGCUUUUGCAUGAGUACUCUGAUUGCUUUCACUCCUUCCUUUUGUGAAUAUCUUUUUAGAGAUAUUUCAGAAAUAAUUAUUUUCUAUCCAUUUGGAGAAGCAACAAUAGAUUUGAAAGGGAAAGAAACCCACUGUAAACUUAUUAUUGCAUUCAAGGCACUAUCUAGGAAUGAGACCCUAUAAAUACCUCUGCACCACUUUAGUUAAGAGGUUAGGAUUUCCUGCACUGAUAUAAGCAACUAUCUGCUACUGACAUGCAAGAAACCAGACUACAGUAACUAGUUUCCACAGAGCUGGUUUGUCCUUAUUUCAGAAAGGAUUCAACACCUAGGAAAAUGUGUAGUUCUAGAAGAAAGAAAAACAUUCUGUAUUUUCCUUGAAUCGUCUAGAAAUAGAAGGCUAACAGUGUGUCUCAGACUCAGACCCUAUGCUAUUUUUUAAAUAUUUAUUCCUUUUCCCUCUCCAAAGAAAGAAAAGACAGGAGCACUGAUGCCCAAGGGACCUUCAUGGUAUUUCAGAUAUUGCCUCACCUGUGAGGAAUUGGCUACCAGACUCCUAAAUGCACCCUUUGUUGCUCUGACUUGUAUUUAAAUAAAUUUUCCUAGACUAGAGUUCAGGAUUCACUUCCCUUCUGAAAAGCAGGUGGGACUGUGGGGGAGGCACUCAGAAGAGCAGCACCGACUGGCGUCCAGGUGGUGCAGCUCUCAGCAGGGUUUUGCAUUUUAGGGCUGAAGGUCUCAAUGUGUUUCUGUCUGUGGAAGAGCAAGGUGGUUAACAAUCACCCUGCGGUGCCUGUAAUCUUGUUUUGUGGGGUCAGUAGAUGGCUAAGGUACAGGAGAUGGUGUGACAGGAUUAUACUGAAAGCUGAGGCAAUCUGUUUCCUUUCUCUCAGGAGAAAAAAAAAAAAAAGAGGAGGAAUAGCUUAGAAGUAGAUUAAAAUGAGAAGUUAGCCCUAGGAGAAGAGUCUAGGGAGAAAGAUUAAAGGAACAAGGACUGUGGGAAUGAGAUGUUCUGUCAUUCCUGCUGGCUUAGCUGGUCCUUCCCUUUGCUUAUGGCUUCUCAGAGGGUUGUUAUUUAUUCUUUGAAACAUUCAGAACGGAGGGGAGAGCGGAGAGUUGGCUGCCUUGCAAAGCCUCCCUGGGGAAGGGCAGGUCGGGCAGUGCAAAUUAGGGUCAGAAAUAACUCAGGGAGGGAGACACGAAUGGGACAGGGUGAAGCCUAACUGCAGACUGAAGGAGAUGUUUGUCUGGACAAGAACCAGCUGAGGUACCAAGCCAAACGGGCUGCUGCUGGGGCAGUGAUGCUUUAGCUGAAAGCCUUUGUUGAGGCUCAUGGACUCCUCGGAGUCAUGAGCUCUAGGUUUGUUUAGACAUCGGUCAUCCCCCAAUCAUCAAAAAUAACCCUGGCCCAACUUAGCCAGCAGCCUGUGUUGCAACCAUAUCAGACUCUGCAUGAGUCAGGGAGAAAACUCUAAGAGAGGAAGGGAAAGGACGGCAGCUGCGUGGGCUGCCGCAGGGCGUGGUGAAGGAAGCACAGCCUGCUGCCACCUCCCGAGGUAGCAUCGCUCUCUGGCUCUCAUCUAAAUCAGUUUUUCUGGACGAGUGCAGGAUUCACUUCCCCUCUGAAAAGCAUGUGGGACUGUGGGGGAGGCACAGGUAGUGUGGAUCUCAGCGGGGCUUUGCAUUUAAAGGCUGGAGGUCUCAAGGCAUUUCCUUCAAUAAGCAAGAGGUGACCAGGUGCAACACGUGUUUGCUCUUACCUUGAUGGGGGUGGCGACUUCUGGGCUGGCCACCACUAAAGGAGAGAUUAACACCAUGCCCGAAAAGUCACCGAGUCUCUCGCUAGCUGUCAGAAUGGAGAUGGCUCCCCCCUGCAAUGCAAAAUAACAUCCCACAGCUUAAUACAGAGGUCAACGUCUCAUUCACAAAGUAAUCCUAUUGCUGGAAGGGGUUUAGGCCAAACAAGCAAACAAUUUCUGCCCCAGCAAGAGUGCAUUGUGGUCAGCAAGGAAGGCUGGAGGCGUGAGUUACUGCAAGUGGCUGAUUUUUGUCUUUCUGCUCUCAUGCUGCAGACCCACACAUCGCACUGAACUCAGCACUCUGUGCCACGGCAGCCAGCUCGCUGGGAUGCCUUAUGUCCUCCUCAGUUAAAAUGACUAAGAAGGCAAUACCUGACUUCUGGUAGUUUGGGUGGGACUUGAGAAGUGAGUUGGGGCUCUGUAAAUGUGGCAGAUCGGUGCUGCAUGGAGAAAGGGAAGGGAAACCAGGCUGGCUCCGUGCUCAUGGCACUGGUAACCCGGGUAACAGCGAUGCUGUCAGCUGGCACACAAAAAUCUUCAUUAAUUACUGGAGGUUAAAUAUUCUCCUCUUCAGUGCCGCCAGUCCCCUCCAGCCCCACAACCUGGUGGCUGACACCUGGCGCUUCAUUUUGAGCUGAACACCGGCCAGGCUGAGCCCUCCUGCAUGAGGACAGUGGCUGAUGGCGAGAGGGGUGGGGGACAGAGGGACUUGGCUGGCUUGCUCGGGAAAGUUCGCAGAGGAUUAGUUGCCAAGGGAAAUAUUUGGUGAACUUCCAUGCUGCCGGAGAAGCAGGGGCUUGUUAAAUGGAGCAGCAGCGAGAAGCAUCUCAAAGACCUCACUGGGAAAUUAGCUCCUUGUUAAAGCAGCUUUGGAGCGCAGCGAGCACUUCAGAGCAUGCCAUGCGUUCUUAUGCAAGAACACUCGUUUAUCUGAGCAUGGGCUGAAUCCCAAAGUACUUAUUCAUUUUUCUCUCCUCCGGGAAGGCAGGGGGAGAAGAUCAAUGACAUCAAUGGGAAUAUUGCUAGCUUGAAUAACGGGAUUUGGCCCGUGCUGUCAGGACCAGACUUCAGAUCUGUUCACCAAAUCAGCGCCUUUGUUUUUGCAGCCCUAAUCCUUGGUACAUUUUCCUGUAAGGUUGUUUAACAGAAUGAGGCUACAGGGUGUUUUCGUGCUUCAUCCCCUAGCUGCUCACAAAGCUUUGGAGGGCUUAACCGCCUGGUUACUGGGUAAAAUGAAAGGAGAAGCCUGGUGCAGCAGGGAGGUGGUGGGAUUUAUCAGCUACCUGGUGUGCUGGAAUGGUCCCAGUAACAAAUAGGCCCAUUGUUGUAAAUGGCACCAAUUAGAGCCAUGAUCCAGGUGGAAAAGUUAAGGACUGACUAUAUUCGAGGCAGAUCUGGUGGGGUAAGGCAUGCUGGCAAUCAGUCAGUGAAUGAAAUGGAAGGGAUGCUUGCACGUAGUUGUGUUUCUCCCGCUGUGGGCUGAGUUAUUUCCCGCUGCCUGCAGUUUUACCCCCGUGCUGCAGCACACACCCUGGACACUGCCAGGAGGGAAGGGGAUGAUGCUUACCAUGGAAUGUCCCAGGAUGAAAACGGGCAGCCCAGGGUGAUCUUUCUUCAUGAGAUCAAUGUGCUGCAAGCUGUCCCUGAUGAAGACGUGGAAAUCUGAGACAACCAUACGAUCCCCCUCGCUCUGCCCAUGGCCAACUGUAGAGGAAAAGGAGAGCAUGUGUCCAAGUCAUUCACAGCAAGGGUUGCAGUCCAGAAAGGCUUCAUCAGAAACAAGUCUGUUGGGCUGUUGCUGACCUUACCUAACCUCCUGCAGUCAAUUAGAGAGGCUGUGAAGAUCUCCCUCCUUGGAGAUCUUCAAAAACUGCCUGGACGUAGUUCUGGGCAACCUGCUCUAGGUGUCUCUGCUUGAGCAGGAGAGUUGAACCAGAUGGGCUGCAGAGAUCCCUUCCAGCCUCAACCACUCUGUGAUUCUGUGAUCUUUCAACAGAAGGAGUGCAGCAGACAUACAAAGGAAGCUGCACAAAAAGAAUUUAACAAGUGUUGUAUUGUUUAUGACCUGGCUAAAAGAAUGCUAUAUUCCUCUGUGUUUUUACAUGCUCUGCAAAACUGCACCCUGGGAAAUUGUUGUUUGCCCUAGAGGUCAUAGCUGCUGGAGUCUGAUAGUAGAGCAAGGACUGCUGUGUGUGGAGUCUUGCCAAGAAACAUGAAAAAAUCCUGAAGGCUGGAUAUGGUCGUUAUAAACUUAAUGGGCCUUGGAUGUAGCCUUUUCCAAUGCGUGGCUGUGUAUGAGCUAUGCAUGAGCUUUGCAGAGUCCUGCUUUCCUCUGGGCUGCCCUGGGAGCAGUAGGUGAGCUGGAAACCUUCCCUGCUAUGAGUUGUAGAGCUCUUUGUGGAGAGGAUAAGUGAUGGUGGUGGCGACAGCCCCCAGUGGGAAUGUCUCGAGUGGCAUGCUCCUCCCAAGCACAUGCUCAUGCAAACUGUGCUGCACCUGGCUGCAUUAGCUCUUUCCGUAUCUGGGAAAUAUCUUGUCUGAUCAAAGGGAAGGGAAUGGCUAAAACUGGAGAUGAUGAGUUGCUAUGGAAACAGGGGAUCCCUGGCAGAGUUGGAGCCAGCAGACCCAUGAACGUGGUCCCAGGCAAUUCGGAGCCUGCAAAGGCUUGAAAUUAUUGCCACCCAGGGAAGUGGUUUCAAGUCUGCCUGACCACACAGACAUGUUGGUACCCAUCAAGGAGAUGAAUCUUCCUUAAAAACAGUUUCCUCUUUAUUUCUACUUCAUGCACGUUGUAAACCAAAGGGAAAAACACUACGCAAACCACUUCUGUAUGUAUAGAAGUGCGUAGGGAAUCUCAAGCACAGCUCCCUCUUCCCCUGGGCCUUCCCCAGUGGGAUCAGACAGCAGGGAGAGAAAUUGCAAAGCACAAAGGGCAGUGACUUGUCAAAGGAUGUUAAGUGCCUGGUAAUUGUUUACAUGCUGGAUGGCACCCCCUAUAGUGAUCACCAAAGAGAGGCAUUGCCUACCCAGCCCGAAAGGUGAAUCUGCUGGCGAGAGUCAUACCAGAAGAAAUCAGCAUGUCUGAAUUGACUUUCUGGCAAACCGUCCAGAAAAUCACCUCCCAAAUGAAGCAAAACUUCUAAUAAAGAGCUGGACUAAAUACACCCCGUCUAAGAAACCCUGAACUCCAAACUUGCUCUUGUUUUGCCCUCCCAGGUGGUCUCCAGAGCUGGGCCUCAUGGCAGUGAGUUACUGGUGAUGUGUUCCAUGCACACACUCCAAGUCCUGCCAAAACACGAUACUGCAAGCAUUUACCAUGGAUCAUUGACCAAAAACAAAUCAAAGAGUCAAUUAAGAGAUCCAAUAAUCUACAGACAAGAAGUGGGUCUAGUGGAUCCAUUUAAAGUGAUUUUUAUUGCAGAUAGAAAGUGAGCUUUUCCCAGCCUUUAUACACAGAGCUUCACCACUUUGUGGAGCUCUAAUGUGUUCUCUGCCUAAUAAUCAAACCGCAGAUUUAGCAAGUUAAUAUGAGUUGAGCAGUCCAGGGAGAGGAACUUUCUCUCCCAGCAGAGCUCUGCACUUCUUUUUCCUCUGGUGCUGCCUGCACUUGCUUCUGGUAUCUCUUUCUCUGCAGAGCCUGUGUAAGACAGCUGAGCAAGCAGAAAUAGCAAAAUCCCCAUGGCCCAGGUUUGUGUAUGGGCCGUGACUCUCUGUUGUGGGGCUAUGAGGCUUUGCUCUAUUUUUGGAUAGACAGAGGCAGGUCUGGAAGGUUUCCUUCAUCACUGGUCCCACUGCAAAACGCUGAUACUGCUCAUAGCAGUGAGAGUUGUGAUUGUGAGAAGCCAAGAAAUGCCUGUGCAAGCACGUCACUGGAGUUCUCCAGGUUUGUGUUUCUUUUUUUUUUUUUAAUUAUUUUUAUUGAUUAUUUAAUGAACCUGCCAUUUGAACCUAAUUUCAACUACUAAACUACUGUUCCCCACUGAGAUGGCACAGCAGUGCUCGGGGCGCUGUCUGGCUGCCUGUAUGGUAAAGGAAGGCCAUGCAAGUCUGCAUCAAUGCCCUCCCUGCCCCUUGCUCAGGGUUACCUGAUGGCAUUGCUAGGUUGCCUUCUUUUAUUUUAUUCCUUUACUCUCUUCACCUCCAAGAAACCAAACUCGUUCCUCCAGAGCAAGAGUUUAUUGAAAGUUCAAAGUAUCCCAGCUGAGAAAGCUUCAGGGCGAGGAACUAAAAUGAAAGGCAUGUGCACAACCAAACAUCAAUACAGUCAAGAGUAUUGACAUAUUCUUCUCUGAUCUUUUGCCUUUGGAGCUAUUAAGAAUGAAAGGUCAGGUUCAUCCUUGAUGUGAAGGUAUUUGCUUUGGGUUUUGCUGGGAAAGAACCUGACACAGUGGUUCCACAGUGCCUGUGGCAAGGCACUCAGUGCAGGAGGAGGGGACCUGUCCGCAGCUGGGAACUGGAACUAACCAGGGGCUGCUCAGCACCCACAUGAGACAACAGCCGGCCAGAAAAGUGUCACGGGAGUCUCAGCUCUGUGAGUUCCCACCACAAAUCUCCUCCUUGGGUUUCAGAGGGAUGUCUUAACCAGCUUUUUGAGACGCGCAUCUCCAAAGAGCUGUAAUUGCCCAUGCACUUCUGCAUGGCACACUGGGCUUCAAAACCUUUCAAAUAGGUUUCAAGUUUUCAUACCCAACUUGCAUGGCUCACUGCUGAUAUCAUGAAUCUGCAGUAGCUCUGUGACUAUUUCAGGUGGCAGGCACUGAGGUAGUUGUGGGCACUCUUUCCUAAAUGCGGGCUUUUAAAAAAAGAAUCCACAACUUGUUUUCAAAUUGCCAGUCUAGGAUUAGGUCUAAGCCUCCAUUUCCAACCAAACUCCUCACUGCAAAAUAGCUUACUUUGCUCAAAGUCUGAAUAAAGGCUGCAGUGACGUAAUAGAUAUAUAAUAGCUAUUAAGGUCUGCCCUCUGUAUUUUCUGUAAAAGCUUGUUCAGGCUGCAGCUCUGCCACCACAGGGACAAGAACAGCGACUCGUGACAGUCAUCAAUCAAGUCUGAAACCAUGACCUCAGACUGUGAUUUCUCCUAUGGCUAUGGAUCCUCCAAAGCUCCACACCUCUCUGGGUGGAUCAGCAAUGGAAUAUUUGAUGGUGGAUGGUGUAAGGGCUCUGGAGACUGAGUUAUCACUACCUGCAUGGAGGAACCUCUCGGGCUGGAUAGGCUCAGCAGCAUUGCUCAUCUCAAAAAGAGCUGGAGCCUCACCCAGGGUGAAAGCAAGGGAGAAGCUGCAGAGCAGCUCCUCUGCUGAGAGAAAAACAGAGGGGCCUUUUUUUCAGAUUGCAAAAUUAGGUGGCAGCACAAACAAGAUGGUGCUUUGACAACUUGUGUCUUCUCAGCAUCACACUGCAUUCCCUCUGGAGUGGGAGGGAGCUUCAGAUCCUCAUCAAAUCACACUGAGCAGUGAUGAAAAAAUCCCUCCGGGCACCCCACUGCAUCACACCUUAGCAGAGACUUGUCCUCAGGCUUUUAUGUAAGCUACAGGCUAUUGGUAUUUCUUUCUCCUUUUAGUGCCAGAGCCUCACAACAAAGGCCCAGCCCAACCCCGUGUGCUCAGGUGUGGCAUGAACUUCUCAAAGCUCCAGCUGGAAUGUUUGGCUGCAGAAGAUGAGGUGACACAGAAAAUGCAGGGUCAAAUGCUGAUUCCAGCUAUGCUGCUGUAAAUUUACUGAUUUCGGUGGUGUCCCUUAAAGCAUACAGUCAUGGGAGAGUAGAAAUUAUGGUCUAUGUUGUUUUUUCAGCCUUUGCUCCCUAUUUAUUAUGGAAAAGCCAUAAAACACAGAGAGAGGACAUGAGAAAUCUGCCUGGGGAGCAGUAAUUCUCCAGGCAGAGUCUGGAUCUUGACU